AUUGAACGCUGGCGGCAGGCCUAACACAUGCAAGUCGAACGAGUAGAGGACGGGUGAGUAAUGUCUGGGAAACUGCGCGAUGGAGGGGGAUAACUGCUGGAAACGGUGGCUAAUACCGCCAAACAUCGGAUCGGCCCAGAUGGGAUUAGCUAGUAGGUGGGGUAACGGCUAACCUAGGCGACGAUCCCUAGCUGGUCUGAGAGGAUGACCAGCCACACUGGAACUGAGAGACGGUCCAGACUCCUACGGGAGGCAGCAGUGGGGAAUAUUGCACAAUGGGCGCAAGCCUGAUGCAGCCAUGCCGCGUGUAUGAAGAAGGCCUUCGGGUUGUAAAGUACUUUCAGCGAGGAGGCGUUACUCGCAGAAGAAGCACCGGCUAACUCCGUGCCAGCAGCCGCGGUAAUAC
rnacentral:rRNA from 1 species